UAUAAUUAUUUUAAUGAGAAUAGUUUUUUAAAUAAAUCAUUAAAUCAUAUAUAUCAAUCUCCACGGCAACUGUAGUGGAGAGGAAAAAAUAGGAAGGAAACAUAAUUAAAUGACUGGGCCUGUACCUGGAAUGUCCAGCAGGGGCCGCUCCACAGCAACUGCAGUGGAGAAAACAGUACAUGAAGAAGUGGCAAUUCACUGGGUUAGCCGCUACCCACAUGGAAAACGGGAAGCAAUGCUCCUGCACCUGGAAUCUCCAGCAGGAGUUGCUUCACUACAGCUGUAGGUGAGAUUAAAUAGGAAGAUUUAGAUUGAUAGAUUAAUUUAUACUUUUAUUUCUGUACUGUAGGACAGAAAAACAGAAGGAGCGUGACUCAUUUGGAGGGGGAAAAUCAAGGCUCCUGCAACUGUAAUCUCCAGCAGGAGCCGUUCUACUACAACUGUAGGACAGAAAAACAGAAGGAGCGUGACUCAUUUGGAAGGGGAAAACCAAGGCUCCUGCAACUGUAAUCUCCAGCAGGAGCCGUUCUACUACAACUGUAGGACAGAAAAACAGAAGGAGCGUGACUCAUUUGGAAGGGGAAAAUCAAGGCUCCUGCAACUGUAAUCUCCAGCAGGAGCCGUUCUACUACAACUGUAGGUGAGAAAAUAGAGCCAUAUAAAGCUAGAAUAGGCAGUUGGGUUAUCCAUGACCCAUCUGGAAGAGUAGAAUCAGUGGUCCUGUAUCUGG